rnacentral:rRNA from 1 species
AAGUCGUAACAAGGUCUCCGUUGGUGAACCAGCGGAGGGAUCAUUACCGAGUUUACAACUCCCAAACCCAUGUGAACAUUACCUCUAUGUUGCUUCGGCGGAGCCGCCCCGGCGCCCGGAACCCCCUGCGGUCCCGCGGCCCGGAACCAAGGCGCCCGCCGGAGGCCACAAACUCUUCUGUUUUUACAGUUUCUUCUGAGUGUGCCGCAAGGCAGUAUACAAAUGAAUCAAAACUUUCAACAACGGAUCUCUUGGUUCUGGCAUCGAUGAAGAACGCAGCGAAAUGCGAUAAGUAAUGUGAAUUGCAGAAUUCAGUGAAUCAUCGAAUCUUUGAACGCACAUUGCGCCCGCCAGAAUUCUGGCGGGCAUGCCUGUUCGAGCGUCAUUUCAACCCUCGAGCUCCCCUUUCGGGGGGAGCCCGGCGUUGGGGACCCGGCGCUAACAACGCCGGCCCCGAAAUGGAGUGGCGGCCCGUCCGCGGCGACCUCCGCGUAGUAACAACCACUCGCACCGGGACCCGGGCGCGGCCACGCCGUAAAACACCCCACCUUCCGAAUGUUGACCUCGAAUCAGGUAGGAAUACCCGCUGAACUUAA